UUGCUUCUUAGGCAGCACAUAUACUAAACUUAGGACCAUACAGAGAAGAUUAGCAUGACCCUGUGCAAGGAUGACAUGCACAUUCAUGAAGCGUUCCAUAUUUUU